CCCUGCCAUUUGUACACACCGCCCGUCGCUACUACCGAUUGAAUGAUUUAGUGAGGUCUUCGGACUGAGCGCGGUGGCGUUUCGGCGUCGCCGAUGCUUCGGAAAGAUGACCAAACUUGAUCAUUUAG
rnacentral:rRNA from 1 species